CGUAGGAGGCAAACGUUAUCCGGAUUUACUGGGCGUAAAGCGCGUGUAGGUGGUUCUGUAAGUAGGGCGUGAAAGCUCCCGGCUCAACUGGGAGAGGCCGUUCUAAACUGCAGAGCUAGAGGAUGGUAGAGGGAGGUGGAAUUCCAGGUGUAGCGGUGGAAUGCGCAGAUAUCUGGAGGAACACCAGUGGCGAAGGCGGCCUCCUGGACCAUUCCUGACACUCAGACGCGAAAGCUAGGGUAGCAAACGGGAUUAGAUACCCGUGUAGU
rnacentral:rRNA from 1 species